AUUUUUCUAGUAUAAAUAGUCCUUUUGACUUCCAAUCAAAAAGUUUGAUAUUAAAUCAAGAAAAAUA
rnacentral:tRNA from 1 species